rnacentral:rRNA from 1 species
CCGGGCUCAACCUGGGAACUGCGUUCUGAACUGAGUGACUAGAGUGUGUCAGAGGGAGGUAGAAUUCCACGUGUAGCAGUGAAAUGCGUAGAGAUGUGGAGGAAUACCGAUGCCGAAGGCAGCCUCCUGGGAUAACACUGACGUUCAUGCUCGAAAGCGUGGGUAGCAAACAGGAUUAGAUACCCUGGUAGUCCACGCCCUAAACGAUGUCAAUUAGCUGUUGGGCAACUUGAUUGCUUAGUAGCGUAGCUAACGCGUGAAAUUGACCGCCUGGGGAGUACGGUCGCAAGAUUAAAACUCAAAGGAAUUGACGGGGACCCGCACAAGCGGUGGAUGAUGUGGAUUAAUUCGAUGCAACGCGAAGAACCUUACCUGGUCUUGACAUGUACGGAAUCCUCCAGAGACGGAGGAGUGCCUUCGGGAGCCGUAACACAGGUGCUGCAUGGCUGUCGUCAGCUCGUGUCGUGAGAUGUUGGGUUAAGUCCCGCAACGAGCGCAACCCUUGUCAUUAGUUGCCAUCAUUUAGUUGGGCACUCUAAUGAGACUGCCGGUGACAAGCCGGAGGAAGGUGGGGAUGACGUCAAGUCCUCAUGGCCCUUAUGACCAGGGCUUCACACGUCAUACAAUGGUCGGUACAGAGGGUAGCCAAGCCGCGAGGUGGAGCCAAUCUCACAAAACCGAUCGUAGUCCGGAUUGCACUCUGCAACUCGAGUGCAUGAAGUCGGAAUCGCUAGUAAUCGCAGGUCAGCAUACUGCGGUGAAUACGUUCCCGGGUCUUGUACACACCGCCCGUCACACCAUGGGAGUGGGGGAUACCA